GUGUUCACUUCGGCAGCACAUAUAUUAAAAUUAGCAUGAUACAGUGAAGAUUAGCAUGACUCCUGUGCAAAGAUGAUGCAAAUUUGUGAGGCAUUAAAAGAACAAUA
rnacentral:snRNA from 1 species